rnacentral:ncRNA from 1 species
CAAAGGCUUGGUCCUGACUUUACUAUCAACUCUAGCAGAACUUACACAUGCAAGUAUCCGCAUCCCCGUGAGAAUGCCCUACAGUUCCCUGCCCGGGAACAAGGAGCUGGUAUCAGGCACACCCCUACCGAGCCCACGACACCUUGCUUAGCCACACCCCCAAGGGAACUCAGCAGUGAUAAACAUUAAGCCAUAAGUGAAAACUUGACUUAGUUAGAGCUAAGAGGGCCGGUAAAACUCGUGCCAGCCACCGCGGUUAUACGAGAGGCCCAAGUUGAUAGAGCCCGGCGUAAAGCGUGGUUAAGAUUUGUCAAAAAAUAAAGCCGAACACCUCCAGAGCUGUUAUACGUACCCGAAGGUGAGAAGUUCAACCACGAAAGUGGCUUUAAAGGCCUGAACCCACGAGAGCUAAGACACAAACUGGGAUUAGAUACCCCACUAUGCCUAGCCGUAAACAUUGGUAGUAUUUACACCCACUACCCGCCUGGGAACUACGAGCAUCAGCUUGAAACCCAAAGGACUUGGCGGUGCUUUAGAUCCACCUAGAGGAGCCUGUUCUAGAACCGAUAACCCCCGUUCAACCUCACCUCCCCUUGUUUUCCCCGCCUAUAUACCGCCGUUGUCAGCUUACCCUGUGAAGGUUAAAUAGUAAGCAAAAUUGGUACAACCUAAAACGUCAGGUCGAGGUGUAGCGUAUGGGGAGGGAAGAAAUGGGCUACAUUUCCUAAUAGAGGAAACACGAACGAUGUGAUGAAAUGCACAUCUGAAGGAGGAUUUAGCAGUAAGCAGGAAAUAGACGUCCCGCUGAAACUGGCCCUGAAGCGCGCACACACCGCCCGUCACUCUCCCCGAGCCUACAAACUAAAUUAACUAAAACUUUACAACCGCGAAGGGGAGGCAAGUCGUAACAUGGUAAGCGUACCGGAAGGUGCGCUUGGAAAAAU